UUCAUUUCUUUAUUAUUUAAAAAUUAUUUGGGAAAAGCACUUUAGAAUGACCAUUAUUCUCUUCUCCUGCCCUGCUGCCAUCCCCUUAGUUUACUUAUUUCAGCAAAAAGAAACCCAGGGCCAUUAUUUUGCUUUCAGAAAUAAAUUUAGAUUCAGGUAGUCAAGAGUGCUAUGAGUAAUACUGUGAGCCAACAGUUAGAAAUCCUAAUACUAAACUGUGAAUGUAUAUCUGAGGGCAAUCUUUACUACAACUGCUGCCAUGAAAGUCAAAAUGAAAAAAAUCUGUCACUGUUACAGAAUUUGUGAUAUAGGUAUGGCAAAAGGCAUGGCAGUGGGAAUUGCUGUCCCAGGAUAAGCUCCCACAGAUAGUAUUAUAGACUUCUGGUGAGGCUUACAGUCAAAUGCCUGUAUUUGCAUUUAGAGGUUAGGCACUUAAACAUAUGUAAUCAGCAAAUUGCUUAAUUUGUUCAAGUUUCUGUUUUUCUUUCCAGUACUACACAGUGUGAUAGGCAGGAUCAAAUUAGCGUAUUAUCUAUCACUUUGUAACAAAUCGCCACAAAAGUAAGUGGCUAAACUCUUAAAUGGUUUCUCUGGGUCAGGAAUUCAGAAGCAGCUUCAUUGGGCAGUUCUGACUUAGUGCCUAAUGAGGUUGCAAUUAGAUGCCACUUGAGACUACAGUCUGAAGGCUUGGUUGUGGCUGGCUGAUCUACCUCCAAGAUGGCUCACUUACAUAGCUGACUAGCUGAUGCUGGCUGUUGACAGGAGGACUUAGUUUCUCUCCACAUGGUUGUCUGAGUGAAUUCAUGACAUGGCUGGCUUUCACCAGAGCAAAUAACCCAAGCGUGCGUGUCAACAGCAUCCUUUUUUGUUCUAGCCUCAUAAAUCACACCUCAGCUAUAUUCUAUUGGUCACACACAACAAACAGCCUCUUUCAUUGUGGGAGAAGACCACACAACAGCAUUAAUACCAGAAGGCAAGGAUCAUCAUGGCCAUCUUGGAAGCUGGCUAAUACAGAUGUGUGGAAGUGCUUUUAAGGUGAAACAUGCUAUGCAAAUGUGUAAUGGUAUUUUUUUUCUUUUGGUUCAAAGUGCUCAAAUGAUACUUUAUAUAUACAGUAUCUCAUUGUCUCAGAA